UUAAGCGACUAAGCGUACACGGUGGAUGCCCUGGCAGUCAGAGGCGAUGAAGGACGUGCUAAUCUGCGAUAAGCGUCGGUAAGGUGAUAUGAACCGUUAUAACCGGCGAUUUCCGAAUGGGGAAACCCAGUGUGAUUCGUCACACUAUCAUUAACUGAAUCCAUAGGUUAAUGAGGCGAACCGGGGGAACUGAAACAUCUAAGUACCCCGAGGAAAAGAAAUCAACCGAGAUUCCCCCAGUAGCGGCGAGCGAACGGGGAGGAGCCCAGAGCCUGAAUCAGUGUGUGUGUUAGUGGAAGCGUCUGGAAAGGCGCGCGAUACAGGGUGACAGCCCCGUACACAAAAAUGCACAUGCUGUGAGCUCGAUGAGUAGGGCGGGACACGUGGUAUCCUGUCUGAAUAUGGGGGGACCAUCCUCCAAGGCUAAAUACUCCUGACUGACCGAUAGUGAACCAGUACCGUGAGGGAAAGGCGAAAAGAACCCCGGCGAGGGGAGUGAAAAAGAACCUGAAACCGUGUACGUACAAGCAGUGGGAGCCUCUUUAUGGGGUGACUGCGUACCUUUUGUAUAAUGGGUCAGCGACUUAUAUUCUGUAGCAAGGUUAACCGAAUAGGGGAGCCGAAGGGAAACCGAGUCUUAACUGGGCGUUAAGUUGCAGGGUAUAGACCCGAAACCCGGUGAUCUAGCCAUGGGCAGGUUGAAGGUUGGGUAACACUAACUGGAGGACCGAACCGACUAAUGUUGAAAAAUUAGCGGAUGACUUGUGGCUGGGGGUGAAAGGCCAAUCAAACCGGGAGAUAGCUGGUUCUCCCCGAAAGCUAUUUAGGUAGCGCCUCGUGAACUCAUCUCCGGGGGUAGAGCACUGUUUCGGCAAGGGGGUCAUCCCGACUUACCAACCCGAUGCAAACUGCGAAUACCGGAGAAUGUUAUCACGGGAGACACACGGCGGGUGCUAACGUCCGUCGUGAAGAGGGAAACAACCCAGACCGCCAGCUAAGGUCCCAAAGUCAUGGUUAAGUGGGAAACGAUGUGGGAAGGCCCAGACAGCCAGGAUGUUGGCUUAGAAGCAGCCAUCAUUUAAAGAAAGCGUAAUAGCUCACUGGUCGAGUCGGCCUGCGCGGAAGAUGUAACGGGGCUAAACCAUGCACCGAAGCUGCGGCAGCGACGCUUAUGCGUUGUUGGGUAGGGGAGCGUUCUGUAAGCCUGUGAAGGUGUGCUGUGAGGCAUGCUGGAGGUAUCAGAAGUGCGAAUGCUGACAUAAGUAACGAUAAAGCGGGUGAAAAGCCCGCUCGCCGGAAGACCAAGGGUUCCUGUCCAACGUUAAUCGGGGCAGGGUGAGUCGACCCCUAAGGCGAGGCCGAAAGGCGUAGUCGAUGGGAAACAGGUUAAUAUUCCUGUACUUGGUGUUACUGCGAAGGGGGGACGGAGAAGGCUAUGUUGGCCGGGCGACGGUUGUCCCGGUUUAAGCGUGUAGGCUGGUUUUCCAGGCAAAUCCGGAAAAUCAAGGCUGAGGCGUGAUGACGAGGCACUACGGUGCUGAAGCAACAAAUGCCCUGCUUCCAGGAAAAGCCUCUAAGCAUCAGGUAACAUCAAAUCGUACCCCAAACCGACACAGGUGGUCAGGUAGAGAAUACCAAGGCGCUUGAGAGAACUCGGGUGAAGGAACUAGGCAAAAUGGUGCCGUAACUUCGGGAGAAGGCACGCUGAUAUGUAGGUGAAGCGACUUGCUCGUGGAGCUGAAAUCAGUCGAAGAUACCAGCUGGCUGCAACUGUUUAUUAAAAACACAGCACUGUGCAAACACGAAAGUGGACGUAUACGGUGUGACGCCUGCCCGGUGCCGGAAGGUUAAUUGAUGGGGUCAGCGCAAGCGAAGCUCUUGAUCGAAGCCCCGGUAAACGGCGGCCGUAACUAUAACGGUCCUAAGGUAGCGAAAUUCCUUGUCGGGUAAGUUCCGACCUGCACGAAUGGCGUAAUGAUGGCCAGGCUGUCUCCACCCGAGACUCAGUGAAAUUGAACUCGCUGUGAAGAUGCAGUGUACCCGCGGCAAGACGGAAAGACCCCGUGAACCUUUACUAUAGCUUGACACUGAACAUUGAGCCUUGAUGUGUAGGAUAGGUGGGAGGCUUUGAAGUGUGGACGCCAGUCUGCAUGGAGCCGACCUUGAAAUACCACCCUUUAAUGUUUGAUGUUCUAACGUUGACCCGUAAUCCGGGUUGCGGACAGUGUCUGGUGGGUAGUUUGACUGGGGCGGUCUCCUCCUAAAGAGUAACGGAGGAGCACGAAGGUUGGCUAAUCCUGGUCGGACAUCAGGAGGUUAGUGCAAUGGCAUAAGCCAGCUUGACUGCGAGCGUGACGGCGCGAGCAGGUGCGAAAGCAGGUCAUAGUGAUCCGGUGGUUCUGAAUGGAAGGGCCAUCGCUCAACGGAUAAAAGGUACUCCGGGGAUAACAGGCUGAUACCGCCCAAGAGUUCAUAUCGACGGCGGUGUUUGGCACCUCGAUGUCGGCUCAUCACAUCCUGGGGCUGAAGUAGGUCCCAAGGGUAUGGCUGUUCGCCAUUUAAAGUGGUACGCGAGCUGGGUUUAGAACGUCGUGAGACAGUUCGGUCCCUAUCUGCCGUGGGCGCUGGAGAACUGAGGGGGGCUGCUCCUAGUACGAGAGGACCGGAGUGGACGCAUCACUGGUGUUCGGGUUGUCAUGCCAAUGGCACUGCCCGGUAGCUAAAUGCGGAAGAGAUAAGUGCUGAAAGCAUCUAAGCACGAAACUUGCCCCGAGAUGAGUUCUCCCUGACUCCUUGAGAGUCCUGAAGGAACGUUGAAGACGACGACGUUGAUAGGCCGGGUGUGUAAGCGCAGCGAUGCGUUGAGCUAACCGGUACUAAUGAACCGUGAGGCUUAACCUU
rnacentral:rRNA from 1 species